rnacentral:misc_RNA from 1 species
CCAAGCCGCCGCUCCGACUCCGCUCCCACUACUACGACUACCACGACUACUACGCCGAAGAAACUUUUUUGUUGUCGUUGUUGUUCUAAGAAUACCCUCCAACGCGCCCCCUCCUUCAGCACGCAGUGUUACCUCUCCUCUACUCCCAGCAGCCAUGGACGUGAACAGCAACCACUUCAAUCCCGUCAAUUCCCACCCCUUAAGACAACGGCCAGGAUCCCGCUUCCCGCAUCCGGAAGUGACGUCAGGGGAACUGAUCCUGCUGAACUUGGAGCUGUUUGUCAACUAUCUGCUCUUCGUCGUCAUGUCUUCCAUGCUCUACGUCGGCGUCAAACAGUACUUCCGGCGCGCGCGUCUCGUGGGGUUUGCCUGGGUGUGGCCCAGUCGCAUGGAGGUGAUGAUGAUGCUCGUCCCCAACGUAUUCUUCGGGAUCUGGUAUAGCGUGUAUGCGUAGUAGCUUAUCCCGUCCUUAAUAAUGGGGAACAUUGGACUUCAUUGACAGCACUUGUUAACGCCACUGCAAUGCAUCUUACUCACGUGAACUCUAGAGUGGAUGUUGGCAGCCUUUCGUUAAGAUUUAAGUCUAUUUCUAUGAACUGACUCGAAAUUCCAGUAAGACAUAUUUAAUCUGGCUUCUUCGCAAAAUGUGCGGACACUACCGUGUGUGGUGUAACGUCAUAGAUGUAGGUGAAAAGACAAUUUUAUAUUGACAUAAACGAGAGUAGAAUGGGACAAGAAGGGGUCGCCUUCACUGUUUUAUGUAGCAUCUUCCUUGGCAACGGGGCUUGGGGUGAUGGAAUUAGUUGAUAGCAUCGCUUACGCCUUUCUAUGCAAUGGGUUAGUUUAUUGCAUUUUCUGCGCAGGGAUAUCUAUCACAGCUUCCUGGGCAAAGGUGCACCGUGGAAAUCUUUCAGGGUUAUUGUGGGAGGUCGUCCUUGGGGACAGACGUCAUGGGCCACGCCCUCCCUUGGGCGCUGACCUUCACACCAUACCCCCUGUUUUUUUUUGUUUUUUUUUUUUCAUUUAAAGCUUGCAGUAGCUAUCUGUUAGACUUCGUCCUGAUUCGACUCUGAGGUCGGCUGGACGUUAACCAUUAGUAGUAAUAACAAUUAUCUGUUUUGACUGGACAUCCAUCUACCUGGGCUUGGGAAGCUGGGAGGUCAUCGAGUUGGCGAUUGGUGUUUUACGUCAGGUACUGACUAUCGCCCGCGUUCAUUUGCACCUGUUCACCUGGUGGCAGUUUUGUUGCUGAUGGCCUUUAGUGGUCGGCUGGACUUGAAACAUGGCGUGAACGGAACAUAGAAUGUAAUGCAUUGUCUAGGACUUAACGCAAAGUGAACUGAACUGAAGUGUGGUGAAUGUAAUGCAUUAUCUAGUAAAGACAACGUACUUCCCUAGAGGAUUUUUGUGUGGUCAUCCUUUGGCAGCGAUGAUGGACUGAAAUCUUCCGGUAGGACUGACGCUGUUUAAAGUGACCUGACGUCAUCGGUAGUGCUGGUGACGUCGUUUCAUGGGACUAUUGCGAAAGAUGACGUCAUGCAGGGUUACGGACUGAUGACAUACCGGGUACUAAUGACAUACCGGGUACUAAUGACAUACCGGGUACUAAUGACAUGUGAAUCUAAUUGCUUUGACAAUCUUUCCGUGUCCCCCAUCAGUUUGGAAUCAGUCUUGAUCCAAUCAACGUCUGGACGGCUGUUCCAUCCUCGAUUCUGGGACAUGGAAAGUGGUCAUCCAACUUUAAAAAAACAAACAAAAAAACGAAACAAAGCUGCAUUUUACGUAAUUUGAAUUUAAGAUUUUGUUUAUAAAUACAAACGAAAAUAAACUAUAUCAUGGGCUGUUGGUAUUAAAUUUUUUUGGAAUUUCUUGCGAUCACAAAGGAAACGCUUUUUCAUACUUAUGUGCUUUAAAAUAUUUCCUGGACAUUUUUUUUCUAUCACAAACAAAACGCUUUAUCAUUAUGUGCUUUAAAAUCAAGAUUUGUUUAGAAGGAUAAAAGGACCGAAGUUUCAUCCUAUGUGCCUUGCAAGUAAGUUUUGCUAGACUUUUUGUGACCACUAAUGAAACCGCUUCAUCUUUGAAAGUAAAGAUUUUUUAAACUUUUUUAUAGCAGUAAUUUAGGAAACUCUUAUCGUUAUGUCCUUCAACAUUAUUUUUAAGUGAGAAGAAGAACCGAAUCGUUUAACCUACGUGCCUUGCAAGUAAAGUUUGGCUAGACUUUUGCGAAAACAAACUAAACACUUAAUCAUGCUUUAAAAGGAAGAUUUUCUAUUUUUUGCGAUCGCAAUGGGUGCUAAGCUUUAUCACGUGCUUUGAAAUAGAUUUGCCAGACCUAUUGCGACCACAAACAAAAUUCUUUGUCAUGUGCUUCGAAAAAAAAUCGUUAAAAAGAUUAAACGCACUGUAGUUUUGUGUGCUUUUGAAAUCAAGAUUUGGUUAGAUUUGUUUUGCAACACUUCUGACCGACGUCCGUAAAUACUAAUUCCUUUGACCAAUGGAUUGUGUUUGUUGGAAACGCUAUAAAGUCUAUUUCAUCGUUUGAAUACUGUCAUACUGAAUGGUCAGAUAUUGAGUUCAUUUGCUAUCACAAACAUACCAAAGGUGUAUCAACCGAUCUCGGUCCAUGAAAUAAACUUUGCGUUAGUCAGUUGGAAACGCUGUUACUUCUGUUAGUUUGGAACACAAGUUUUAAAGGUAAAAAAAAUGUUUUUAUUUCGUUGACAUCUCUGCGUAGUCCUUUUCUGAAAUUGAAUAUUCGUUGUAAAUAUGUCUUAAACCGAUGUGGUUCAUUUGAUUGAUAGACUUUAUUUUAGUGUGCUGUAAACCGCUGUAAGGUCUAUUACGUCUUUUGACCACUUGACAUUUUUACUUAACACGUGAUUGUAAAUCCAUUGACAUUAAUUUGGGGUACUUUGCCUAGUCGUUUUCUUAACAAAGAAUUAAAAACAAUAAUUAAAUAGAACAUCUGAAGUGUUGACAGUAUUUUGCUGUUACAAGCUUUUUCAAGUAACCAUGGACUUGUAAUGUAAGAACUGAAACAAAGUAAAAGACCAACCACUCUGCCUGCUCUAACCCUUGGGAUCUGGAGGGGGUAUAUUUUCAGGAUCACUUCAUGCGUCCAUGAAAGUUAAUUUGGCUUCCCAUUUUUUGUUUAAUCAAGUAACUUUUUGCCUCUCCUCGACCCAUCCAUCUGCUUAACUCUUUAAAUUUCCCCCAAAUACCUGGGCUGUCUUCUGUUCCUCCCUUUGGACAUUUGUCGGCUCAAUUGUAUGAAAUGUUUUAAAGUAUAUUGCGAUGUUUUAGUCGACUGUUUAAUUACAUCAGCAUGGUAAAGGCUUUUGUGUUGUUCGCAACUAAAGUCUUAAAGCAUUUUAUGGCAUUUUUAACGGUUCGACACAUUCUAGUCAUAUGCCCGUGCUAAACUGAAAUGUCUUAAACAUUUUAUGGCGUUUUAAAGUUAGUCGACACAUUCUAGUGGUAUUAAUUGAAAUGUUUAAAAGCAUUUUGUGGCAUUUUAAAAUUGUUCGACACAUUCUAGUCAGAUGCGCGUAGUGAAUUGAAANGUCUAAAAAAAACUUUUUAUGGCGUAUUAAGGUGUUAGUCUACAGAGCCAUUCUAGUCACACCAGUGUGGUCAAGAUUUUCGUGUUAUGAUCAAUCGAACAAUUUUUAAAGCAUUUUAAUUGCAAUUCAAACCGUUUUAAUGAGCACAUUACGUUAUGGUUGACAACAUACAUAGCUGUUGGGUUCUUUGCUUGGUCAUUCACAGACAGUGAAUCAUCAGUUUACGAUUUCAAAGAACCCAACCAUAUAGUUAUGAACAAUGUACACGUGGCAAAGCGCCUUGCAAUUUUAUACUCGUGUAAACAUGGUACAUCAGUGAAAUAGUUAACAUAUCAUUCAAUGGUGAUUUUUGUUAGUCGAUGGCAUGGAUCUUCCUGAUAUGGCUAAGUGUAGUCGGCUGGACGUCAAUCAUGAAUGAUAACUAAUUCAUGGGUGGGCCUUUCUACAAAUCCCCUGCGUUUAUUUAAUUAUUUCUCGAAUAUAUUGAUCUUUCAUCCGACGAUGUUUGGGUUUUUUUUGCGUUUUCGAUGUAUUUCAGAAACACCGGUGUGACUGAAAGAUCCUACUAUUCCUUUAAAAAAGGAUUUCAAAGUCUCUUGCAUUUUUCUGACGUCUAUUGGAAAACCCCAUUUAGUCUUUCUAACAUCUAACG